rnacentral:tRNA from 1 species
GCGCCUUAGCUCAGCUGGAUAGAGUGUUUGACUACAGAUCAAAAGGUCGGGAGUUCGAAUCUCUCAGGGCGCGCCA